GACACGACCGUACCGCAAACCGACACUGGUGCGCGAGAUGAGUAUUCUAAGGCGCUUGAGAGAACUCAGGAGAAGGAACUCGGCAAAUUGACACCGUAACUUCGGAAGAAGGUGUGCCUUUAGUAGGUGAAGUCCCUCGCGGAUGGAGCCCAAUGAGGUUGCAAAGAAUCGGUGGCUGCGACUGUUUAUUAAAAACACAGCACUCUGCAAACACGAAAGUGGACGUAUAGGGUGUGACGCCUGCCCGGUGCUGGAAGAUUAAAUGAUGGGGUGCAAGCUCUUGAUUGAAGUCCCAGUAAACGGCGGCCGUAACUAUAACGGUCCUAAGGUAGCGAAAUUCCUUGUCGGGUAAGUUCCGACCUGCACGAAUGGCGUAACGAUGGCCACACUGUUUCCUGCUGAGACUCAGCGAAGUUGAAAUGUUUGUGAUGAUGCAAUCUCCCCGCGGAAAGACGGAAAGACCCCAUGAACCUUUACUGUAGCUUUGUAUUGGACUUUGAACAGAUCUGUGUAGGAUAGGUGGGAGGCUUUGAAGCAGGGUCGCUAGAUCUUGUGGAGCCAACGUUGAAAUACCACCCUGGUGUGUUUGAGGUUCUAACCUAGGCCCGUAAUCCGGGUUGGGGACAGUGCAUGGUAGGCAGUUUGACUGGGGCGGUCUCCUCCCAAAGUGUAACGGAGGAGUUCGAAGGUACGCUAGUUACGGUCGGACAUCGUGACGAUAGUGCAAUGGCAUAAGCGUGCUUAACUGCGAGACUGACAAGUCGAGCAGAUGCGAAAGCAGGACAUAGUGAUCCGGUGGUUCUGUAUGGAAGGGCCAUCGCUCAACGGAUAAAAGGUACUCUGGGGAUAACAGGCUGAUACCGCCCAAGAGUUCAUAUCGACGGCGGUGUUUGGCACCUCGAUGUCGGCUCAUCUCAUCCUGGGGCUGUAGCCGGUCCCAAGGGUAUGGCUGUUCGCCAUUUAAAUAGGUACGUGAGCUGGGUUUAAAACGUCGUGAGACAGUUUGGUCCCUAUCUUCCGUGGGCGCUGCAGAUUUGAGGAAGCCUGCUCCUAGUACGAGAGGACCGGAGUGGACGCACCUCUGGUGUAUCGGUUGUCACGCCAGUGGCAUUGCCGAGUAGCUAUGUGCGGAAGAGAUAACCGCUGAAAGCAUCUAAGCGGGAAACUCGUUUCAAGAUGAGAUCUGCCGGGGCCUUGAGCCCCCUGAAGAGUCGUUCAAGACCAGGACGUUGAUAGGUCGGGUGUGGAAGCGCAGUAAUGCGUUAAGCUAACCGAUACUAAUUGCUCGUGCGGCUUGACCUC
rnacentral:rRNA from 1 species